GAAGGUGGCUAGCGUUGUUCGGUGUCACUGGGCUUAAAGCGUAUGUAGGCGGGAAGAGUAAGCGUUUUGUGAAAUCCCUCGGGCUUAACCGAGGAAUUGCUUGACGAACUGCUUUUCUUGAGGCAAGUAGGGGUGCAUGGAACUCUUGGUGGAGCGGUGGAAUGCGUAGAUAUCAAGAGGAACGCCAAUGGAGAAAUCAGUGCACUGGGCUUGUCCUGACGCUCAGAUACGAAAGCGUGGGGAGCGAACGGGAUUAGAUACCCCGGUAGUCCACGCUGUAAACGAUGUCUACUAGGUUGUGGGAGUUCUGACACUGUCGCGACCGAAGCAAAAGUGUUAAGUAGACCGCCUGGGGAGUACGGUCGCAAGGCUA
rnacentral:rRNA from 1 species